rnacentral:rRNA from 1 species
UACGUAGGGUGCAAGCGUUAAUCGGAAUUACUGGGCGUAAAGCGUGCGCAGGCGGUUUUGUAAGUCUGUCGUGAAAAUCCCCGGGCUCAACCUGGGAAUUGCGAUGGAGACUGCAAGGCUAGAAUCUGGCAGAGGGGGGGUAGAAUUCCACGUGUAGCAGUGAAAUGCGUAGAGAUGUGGAGGAACACCAGUGGCGAAGGCGGCUCACUGGCCCGAUACUGACGCUGAGGCACGAAAGCGUGGGGGAAGCAAACAGGG